rnacentral:rRNA from 1 species
GAUGAACGCUGGCGGCGUGCUUAACACAUGCAAGUCGAACGAUGAAGCCCAGCUUGCUGGGUGGAUUAGUGGCGAACGGGUGAGUAACACGUGAGUAACCUGCCCUUAACUCUGGGAUAAGCCUGGGAAACUGGGUCUAAUACCGGAUAGGAGCGUCCACCGCAUGGUGGGUGUUGGAAAGAUUUAUCGGUUUUGGAUGGACUCGCGGCCUAUCAGCUUGUUGGUGAGGUAAUGGCUCACCAAGGCGACGACGGGUAGCCGGCCUGAGAGGGUGACCGGCCACACUGGGACUGAGACACGGCCCAGACUCCUACGGGGGGCAGCAGUGGGGAAUAUUGCACAAUGGGCGAAAGCCUGAUGCAGCGACGCCGCGUGAGGGAUGACGGCCUUCGGGUUGUAAACCUCUUUCAGUAGGGAAGAAGCGAAAGUGACGGUACCUGCAGAAGAAGCACCGGCUAACUACGUG